GGACUACUGGGGUAUCUAAUCCCGUUCGCUCCCCCAGCUUUCGCGUCUCAGCGUCAGGGACAGGCCAGGAAGCCGCCUUCGCCACUGGCGUUCCUCCCGAUAUCUACGCAUUUCACCGCUACACCGGGAAUUCCACUUCCCUCUCCUGCCCUCUAGCCCGACAGUAUCCCGCGGCCUCCUACGGUUGAGCCGUAGGCUUUUACACGGGACUUACCAGGCCGCCUGCACGCGCUUUACGCCCAGUAAUUCCGGACAACGCUCGCCCCCUACGUCUUACCGCGGCUGCUGGCAC
rnacentral:rRNA from 1 species